GGGCCCAUAGCUCAGCUGGAAGAGCGGCCGGCUCAUAACCGGUUGGUCCCAGGUUCGAGCCCUGGUGGGCCCACCA
rnacentral:tRNA from 1 species